CGGCGUUUCCCAAGGCGGCGGAGGGCUCGGGGAAGGAGAGGAGGCAGAGAGAGGGCAUCCGGGCGAGGGCUCAGCCCCUGCCCCCAGCCCGCGGAACGAGUUAGUGUUUCUUGUAAUGGUGGGCACCGGCGCUUCCUGGGCCUCAUGGCCAGGCCAUGAUGGUCGCUGUGUUCCUUGAAGUCCAAAGGCGGUAGGUAUGAACACUUAACAAAACACAGGAUUGCUUUGUGCAUUAAAGCACCUUUUCAGCAAUGGCAGCAAAAGACAAGUUGGAAAAUCCAUCUAAAUUCAGAAACUAGAAAGCAAAGAGUACACUUCAGCUGGCCCUGAUCCUUUCAUGAAGCCCCCAAAAAGAUCAUGCAAGCAGCCCAACAAUGUAUAAGCAUACAAAGAUAAUAAAGUCUGCGUCUCUGCCUCUUGUUCCUUCUCCCCGUUCAUCCAUGAACACACUCCUGCAGAUAAAGUGUCUGUCAGCUCUGCAGGAGCUGCUGGCCUCCCACAGCAUCUCCUCGCUUGGCUGGGCGCAAGAGCACAUUGUAUUUACAUAGUCAUGGGCAACGGCCUGUAGGACACGGCUCUUCCGCCCUGCCGGCAAUGGCAUGUCGCUGAGCUGUGAGAUGAAGGAAAUCGCACAGCCUGUACCCAGGCUGCUGUCUGCAACCAUCCCCACUUCAAGCAGCGUCUGGCUGUUUGGUCAGAAAAGGCAUAGGAUGGGAACAGGGAGGCACACAACAAGGCAAAUAACAGCCUGCUAAAUAGGAUGUAUAUAGGGCAGGAGAGGGCCUGGGAAAUAUCAAGGGAUGGUAACAAAAAGGACAGCCCUAACAAUACAGGUCCUGCAUUGGAGGACAUCCAAAUGGUGUCUUCCCUCACAGAGUCCACUAGGCAGCAAUGGGUAGUGCCACAUUAAAAUAAUCAUUACUGUGUCAAGUCUGUGAGAGAAAGGGGAAGGGAGCCAAGUCAGAGGCUGAGAGAUUUCACGGUUAUAUUCCUUUCCUGUUGCAUGAUCCUCAGGGAUUAGAAGAGGCUUUACCGUCAAAACAGAGCCAUGGGGGUGGCAGCUUGCAACAGCAGGUAAGAGUAGUCAAAGCUGAACAGCUUCCAAGAAAAGGGCCAUGGGAUCAAACACCUUUGGGAAACAGCACAUCAGCGGUGCCCUUCAAACCAUGUGUGGUUCAGCUCCACUCUCCCCACUCCCUUCUGAGCCCUCACUCCCCAGCCCAGCUGGGAGCUGGGGAGGCAGCUGCACCAAUGGUCCUGGUUCUUCACCCACACGAGGGGGAAGAAGAGAGCACAGUGGAGCAAGGAGUGGAGCAAUCCCUGUUGUUCGAAGUAAGGAAGUAAGGUGUGGCUCAUCCUGAAUUUGCCUGAAACACUCUCUCAUCAAAGGACAGCAGGCAACCAGGAAGGUUUAUCAGACAUAACACUGUUUCUUACAGUGCAGUUUCACUGCUGAACAGCAAGCAAAUGGAACUGACCCAGAGGGAGACUUGGACCUGCAAGACCCCCCUCAGAUUUGCAGUGAUUCCUUGCCUAAAGCAUGUACCUGUACUGUUCGUUGGGACCUUCCGUGAAACCAGCAUCCUCCAGAACUUGGAGAAACUACAACAGUCAUUUAACCCUGUGCAUAUACUGAAUCUUGCUGAACUGGAGCCUGAAUAAAGCAUGGGUCCAGCAGGCAGUCCUGUACGUGCUCGAGGAUAAUAGUUGACUAAUCAGUCUGGGGACAGCUGACGGACAACUUCUAGCGACUGUGAUCUUCAGUAAAACUAAUUUCCAUAAAAAAAUGAUUUUUAGCAUCAUUUCAGUAUGGUGUCUGUACAUGAUAAGUCACUGUGGCAUACAUACUGCCCUGUUUUCUUGCAGACAUAAGGGCUUCUAAUUUUUACUCUCUACCCUCCCACAUUCUGGUGCAAUUCCUUUCCUUAAUGAGUAUGCACACAAAAUGACCUCAGUGCAAAACUGUGUACUGUUUCCCUGAACUCUGGAGCUCACAUUUUCAUGACAAAAGGUGCAAUUAUUUUCCUGUACAGCAACAUUUGCAACAAGGCUGGCUUUGCAAACAAGAGUUUCAGCCUCUCAUUAGGUUGACAAGAAUUUGGUCAGCCUGGUAAGAAAUCUUUUGUACGUGGCAAAUUAAUUUUAUUUAAGCACCCUUUUACAUUAUCUUUUAAAGGAGCUUUCUGAAUGCAAAGGCGGACACAACUGCUCAGUCUACCCUUCCCUGUGCAUUACAAAUUGUUUAGUAAUGAGGCAGGUAGAAUCUGAUUUUAUGCAAUCAAUCAUGAAAAUGUGUUAACAACUGUAACCUAAAAUUAGCACCUUUCAUGACUAUAAUGUAAUUACCAAACUUCCCUCAAUUACAUGCUAUUCCUUAACAGUUACAGUUCAUCCUUUGUCAUUCUGGAAUUUCAGAAAACUCUGAGCGGUGCACUAUGCUGGUGACCAAGGCACUGGCAAGGCAGAGGCUGGAUCUAUGUAAUUCUUUAACACUACACACAGAUCUUUUUUUCCUGCACAGUAGAUGAGAUUCAGUGAGUGCUAAACUUCACUGACAGUCCUUGAUGCCUUUGAUUUGUGGUCGUGGCAAAACUGCUCAUGCCAGUAACCUCCAAUUAUGACAUUUAAGUCAAAUCAACACACAAAUCAAAUCCACUGACAAUGUAGUUUCACUAUUUCAAUGUUGGGAAAUUACUUGCAUUUUACUUUUGGCACAGGUUCUGAUUUAAUUCCCAAUUAAGUCAACGAGAGCCUGCAGAAUCUUUUGGUUUGCUUCAGUGAUAGGGGAUAAGCCCAGCAGUCAAGGUUUAUUCUCCAAAUAUUAGCAGAAGUGCUCUGCUUAUCAGGCAGUUGAUACUGUUAGCUCAAAGGCAAUAAAAUCUUUGCAUCCAAAUAUAAGCUUUUGUGAGAUCUUAGUUGACAGAUGGAUUUAUAAUGGAUAAUACAAUCUUGAAUUUCUUCUUAAACUUUAGUUAAUUGAAGCAUUUGGGAAGGGUGGAUCUUUCCAAAACAACUCCUUGAGGAACCAUACUGAAAUUAUGUUGCCUACUCAGGCAGUUAACCUUGACUUUCCAAUCAUUGUGAACUGUCUUUAAAUGAAGACUAUUAUAAAACUAAUUUUAUUUUUGUCGGAUAAAACAACUCAUGACACAUGAUAUGGACAGAGCUAACCAUAUAUGAAUGAGAUCUAUACAAAACCUGCCAACUUUACUUUCUGCUCCCUCUGAAAUGUUUUCCCUGGUGACAACAAUUAAGCAGUGGGCUUU